rnacentral:rRNA from 1 species
UGGGGAAUAUUGCACAAUGGGCGCAAGCCUGAUGCAGCCAUGCCGCGUGUAUGAAGAAUGCCUUCGGGUUGUAAAGUACUUUCAGCGGGGAGGAAGGGAGUAAAGUUAAUACCUUUGCUCAUUGACGUUACCCGCAGAAGAAGCACCGGCUAACUCCGUGCCAGCAGCCGCGGUAAUACGGAGGGUGCAAGCGUUAAUCGGAAUUACUGGGCGUAAAGCGCACGCAGGCGGUUUGUUAAGUCAGAUGUGAAAUCCCCGGGCUCAACCUGGGAACUGCAUCUGAUACUGGCAAGCUUGAGUCUCGUAGAGGGGGGUAGAAUUCCAGGUGUAGCGGUGAAAUGCGUAGAGAUCUGGAGGAAUACCGGUGGCGAAAGCGGCCCCCUGGACGAAGACUGACGCUCAGGUGCGAAAGCGUGGGGAGCAAACAGG